rnacentral:rRNA from 1 species
UGGGGAAUUUUGGACGAAUUGGGCGAAAGCCUGAUCCAGCAAUGCCGCGUGUGUGAAGAAGGCCUUCGGGUUGUAAAGCACUUUUGUCCGGAAAGAAAUCCUUGGCUCUAAUACAGUCGGGGGAUGACGGUACCGGAAGAAUAAGCACCGGCUAACUACGUGCCAGCAGCCGCGGUAAUACGUAGGGUGCAAGCGUUAAUCGGAAUUACUGGGCGUAAAGCGUGCGCAGGCGGUUUGCUAAGACCGAUGUGAAAUCCCCGGGCUCAACCUGGGAACUGCAUUGGGUGACUGGCAGGCUAGAGUAUGGCAGAGGGGGGUAGAAUUCCACGUGUAGCAGUGAAAUGCGUAGAGAUGUGGAGGAAUACCGAUGGCGAAGGCAGCCCCCUGGGCAAUACUGACGCUCAUGCACGAAAGCGUGGGGAGCAAAC